rnacentral:rRNA from 1 species
GACGGAGGGGGCUAGCGUUGUUCGGAAUCACUGGGCGUAAAGGGCGCGUAGGUGGUUUAAUAAGUUGGAAGUGAAAGCCCAAGGCUCAACCUUGGAACUGCUUUCAAAACUAUUAUACUAGAGUACGGUAGAGGGUGAUGGAAUUCCUUGUGUAGAGGUGAAAUUCUAAGAUAUAAGGAGGAACACCAGAGGCGAAAGCGAUCACCUGGUCCGUUACUGACACUGAGGCGCGAAAGCAUGGGGAGCAAACAGG